rnacentral:rRNA from 1 species
GAAUAUUGGACAAUGGGCGCAAGCCUGAUCCAGCCAUGCCGCGUGUGUGAAGAAGGCCUUCGGGUUGUAAAGCACUUUUGUACGGGAAGAAAAGCGUGCGGUUACUACCCGGGCGUCAUGACGGUACCGUACGAAUAAGCACCGGCAACCUUCGUGCCAGCAGCCGCGGUAAUACGAAGGGUGCAAGCGUUACGCGGAAUUACUGGGCGUAAAGCGUGCGUAGGUGGUUUGUUAAGUCUGAUGUGAAAGCCCUGGGCUCAACCUGGGAAUGGCAUUGGAUACUGGCAGUCUAGAGUGCGGUAGAGGGUAGUGGAAUUCCCGGUGUAGCAGUGAAAUGCGUAGAUAUCGGGAGGAACAUCCGUGGCGAAGGCGACUCCCUGGACCAGCACUGACACUGAGGCACGAAAGCGUGGGGAGCAAACAGG